rnacentral:tRNA from 1 species
GGAAGUGUGCCCGAAUGUUAAGGGUUUCCUUGAUAAGGAAUUUCGCGGGAGUUCAAAUCUCCCCACUUCUU